AACGCACGAGACCUGCGGACCUGCGGAGGGAUCAUUAGUGAACGCCCUCACGGGCUUAUAACUAUUCCAAACCUCUGUGAACCGUGCCCUUCGGGGCUAUUUUACAAACAUGGUGUAAUGAACGUCAUAUAUCAUAACGAAACAAAACUUUCAGCAAUGGAUCUCU
rnacentral:misc_RNA from 1 species